rnacentral:lncRNA from 1 species
UAGCAGAUUUAGAGGCAAACCAACUUUCCACAGCAGUAAUGAUCUCUUCAUUAUUGAAGAAAUUUCUUCUCUGUAAAUGUCUUUUCAUAUUUUGAAACCAGAAAUAUACCUGAAGGUGGCAGGUUGGAAGAAUAUCAGGGGGAUGAGGCAAGGCUACAUAGCACUAUUUAUGCAUAAAAAUAAUUGUUUUUGCAAUUGGUAUAUAGGUGCAUUAUUAGCUAGCAACAAUACAUUUUUUGAUAGCAAAUCAUGUCUUUUUUCCUUGAUAUUCUCCUUUAACUUUUGUAGCAAGUUCCUGUAGUAUGCCCCUGUUAUUGUUGAUUCUUUUUUGUAAAUAAUUUGUCAUUAUGC